rnacentral:tRNA from 1 species
GGGAAGGUGGCUCAGUGGUAGAGUGCUUGCCUUGAAUAUAAGAGGCCCUAGGUUUGAUUCCUCAGUACCA